UCAAAAUUAAGGGUAGUGGUGCAUGGCCGUUCUUAGUUCGUGGAAUGAUUUGUCUGGUUAAUUCCGAUAACGAACGUGACUCAAUCAAAUUAAAUAGGGUAUCGGGAUGCUUCGUUGGCAUAGUCCCCUCGUUCGGCCUAUCUCAACGUAAACAAAGAACUCAAUCAAACACGCAGAACUGGAUAUCGGAAAAGCUAUGCGCCAAGCAACCGGAACAUUUCGUUUCAAUUUUAGCACUUUGGAAUAUUCAAAUUGAAUGAAAAUGUAACUUCGUUUAUCUUUUGCAGAAGCCAUGAUUCUUCGGCUUAGUGGGUAGUCUAUACACAUGAUCUUAAAUGA
rnacentral:ncRNA from 1 species